AGAGUUUGAUCCUGGCUCAGGGUGAACGCUGGCGGCGUGCUUAAGACAUGCAAGUCUAACGGGUUCUAAACGCAAGUUUAGAAUCAGUGGCGAACGGGUGAGUAAUAGAUAGGAACGUACCUCUAAGAAGGGCAUAACCCCGCGAAAGCGGGGAUAAUUCCCCAUAAUGCCUUCGGGCUAAAGACGCAAGUCACUUAGAGAGCGGCCUAUCUGCUACCAGCUAGUUGGUAGGGUAACGGCCUACCAAGGCUAUGACGGCUACCGGCUCUUAGCGGAGAGUCCGGCACAAUGGGACUGAGACACGGCCCAUACACCUACGGGUGGCAGCAGUUAGGAAUUUUGCGCAAUGGACGAAAGUCUGACGCAGCGACGCCGCGUGAGGGGUGAAGGCCUUCGGGUCGUAAACCUCUUUUGUCCCGACAUGAAGUUGGGGCGAAUAAGCAACUACUAACUACGUGCCAGCAGUCGCGGUAAUACGUAGGUUGCGAGCGUUACCCGGUUUUAUUGGGCGUAAAGAGUCUGUAGGUGGUUUUUCAAGUCCUGUUUCAAAGACUCCGACUCAAUCGGAGGCAGGGGCAGGAUACUGGGAAACUAGAGUGAUAUCGGAGUUACUGGAAUUUGUAGUGUAGGGGUAAAAUCCGUGGAUACUACAAAGAACACCAAGCGCAAAGGCGGGUAACUAGGUAUAUACUGACACUCAGAGACGAAAGCUAGGGGAGCAAAUCAGAUUAGAGACCUGAGUAGUCCUAGCCGUAAACAUUGUCUGUUAGUUCUUCUCAAUUUAUUGGGGGGGACGUAAGCUAACGCAUUAAACAGACCGCCUGGGGAGUAUAGCCGCAAGGCCGAAACUCAAACGAAUUGGCGGGGAGGCGCACAACCAGUGGAGCAUGUGGUUCAAUUCGAUACGAAGCGAUGAACCUUACCUGGGCUUGAAAUGUACCUGCAUUCGACAGAAACGUCGAAGCCUUCGAGGGUGGUACACAGGUGUUGCAUGGCUGUCGUCAGCUCGUGACGUGAGUUGUUCUCUUAAGUGAGGUAACGAGCGCAACCCCCAUCCGGUGUUAUUGUGUCACCGGAGACUGCCCAGCAUUAUUUUGUUGGGAGGAAGGAGGGGACGACGUCAAGUCAUCAUGAUCCUUAUGUCCAGGGCUACACACAUCCUACAAUGGGCUUUACAAAGGGUUGCAAGACCGCAAGGUGGAGCUAAUCCCUAAAAGAGCCCUCAGUUGGGAUUGCCGGCUGAAACCCGCCGGCAUGAACCCGGAAUUGGUAGUAAUCGCACAUCAGCAGCGUGCGGUGAAUACGUUCUCGCCUCUUGCACACACUGCCCGUCAAAUCAGCAAAGUUGGGGGCACCUGAAUUCCGACUUUUGUCGGAACAAGGUGAAUCCAGCGAUGAGGGU
rnacentral:rRNA from 1 species